AUUGAACGCUGGCGGCAGGCCUAACACAUGCAAGUCGAACGAGUGGCGGACGGGUGAGUAAUGUCUGGGAAACUGCCCGAUGGAGGGGGAUAACUACUGGAAACCGUAGCUAAUACCGCAUACCAUCGGAUGUGCCCAGAUGGGAUUAGCUUGUAGGUUAGGUAACUGCUAACCUCGGCGACGAUCCCUAGCUGGUCUGGGGGGAUGACCAGCAACACUGGAACUGAGACACGGUCCAGACUCCUACGGGGGGCAGCAGUGGGGAAUAUUGGACAAGGGGCGCAAGCUGGAUGCAGCCAGGCCGCGUGGAUGGAGAAGGCCUUCGGGUUCUAAAGUACUUUCAGCGGGGAGGCGUUACCCGCAGAAGAAGCACCGGCUAACUCCGUGCCAGCAGCCGCGGUAAUUC
rnacentral:rRNA from 1 species